rnacentral:lncRNA from 1 species
UGUCCUGUGCCGCUCUUACUCGUAGAAUUGGAGCUCCUCCUUGACGUCCGUUGCUGCUCGGCGGAGAACAUGCUUACUGAGAUGAACACGGUAUGUAGGUUCAACAAGUAUGGAUUUGAAAAACUAUAUUAAAUUUGACAAGAUAAACCGUCUAGAUAAGGUAGCAUCAUUCUUAAACCGCUGCAAGGAUACAUACUAUAUAUGACACAUGUGACAUACUAAUUUUGUCCUCAUAAUUAAUAUUGAUAUCCUCUCAAUUCUACCUCACAUUUACACUCCAAUCUCCCUCACAUUCUAGCAAAUAAACUAUCCAUCUCCAUUCUACACAUCAAGUUGUUUUAACUAAUAUGAAUCGUAUAUAACAAGCAAACUAUCCAUCACAUUCUAGCUCAAAAACAUGUAUAAAUACAAAUCCUCUUCAUUGUCUCUCUUUCUAACAAACAAACUUAUUU